GCGUAACGCGUGGGAAUCUGCCCUUAGGUUCGGAAUAACAGUUAGAAAUGACUGCUAAUACCGCAUAAUGACUCCGGUCCAAAGAUUUAUCGCCUGAGGAUGAGCCCGCGUUGGAUUAGCUAGUUGGUGGGGUAAAGGCCUACCAAGGCGACGAUCCAUAGCUGGUCUUAGAGGAUGAUCAGCCACACUGGGACUGAGACACGGCCCAGACUCCUACGGGAGGCAGCAGUGGGGAAUAUUGGACAAUGGGCGAAAGCCUGAUCCAGCAAUGCCGCGUGAGUGAUGAAGGCCUUAGGGUUGUAA
rnacentral:rRNA from 1 species